UAUACUUCAGCAUUUGGGGAAGCAAGGACCUGUCACAGUAAACACAGGUAACACCGUAGAUCCUGACCUGAACCUUGGGAUCCUCCUGCCUCAGACUCCCCAAGUACCUUCUUUUGUUAAUAGUUCUUUGUUUCUGUGGUGGAGUUAACACGCAGGGCAUCACCCAUGCUGGGAAAGCAGUCUUCCGAAGCCAUAGGUCAAUCCCAUCCUUACCAAGUUCCAAGCAAAGGCUUCUAAGUUGGAUAUUUUUUCCAGCCGAGCAAAGACACUCCACCUGAAAAGGGCUGGGACCAAGGAUCUGUCACUCUAGGGAAUUUUAGGUAGUGAUUGCAUAACCUUAGCUG
rnacentral:lncRNA from 1 species